GACGAACGCUGGCGGCGGGCUUAACACAUGCAAGUCGAACGGAAAGACCCUGCUUUUGUGGGGUUCUCGAGGGGCGAACGGGUGAGUAAGACGUGAGUAACCUGCCCUUGACUUUGGGAUAGCUUCAGGAAACGGGGGCUAAUACCAUAUAGGAUCUCCUGCUGCAGUGUGGGGGUUGGAAAGUUUCGGCGGGUGGGGAUGGACUCGCGGCUUAUCAGCUUGUUAGUGGGGGAGGGGCUUACCAAGGCUUUGACGGGUAGGCGGCAUGAGAGGGUGACCGGCCACAAUGCGACUACGAUACGGCCCAGACUCCUACGGGAGGCAGCAGUGGGGAAUCUUGCACAACGAGCGGACGUGUGAUGAAGAAACGCCGCGUGCGGGAUGACGGCCUUUGGGUUGUAAAACGCUUCAGCUUGUGACGCAGCGUGAGUGACGGUAACGGGUAAAGAAGCACCGGCUAACUACGUG
rnacentral:rRNA from 1 species